UGCCAGCCGCCGCGGUAAUACGUAAGUGGCAAGCGUUGUCCGGAAUCACUGGGUGUAAAGCGCGUGUAGGCGGCCUGGUAAGUCUGAGGUGAAAUCCAUGGGCCUAACCCGUGAACUGCCUUGGAAACUGCCAAGCUUGAGGAGCAGAGGGGAAAGUGGAAUUUCGGGUGUAGCGGUGAAAUGCUUAGAUAUCCGAGAGAACACCGAUGGCGAAGGCAGCUUUCUGGCUGUUUCCUGACGCUGAGACGCGAAAGCUAGGGUAGCGAACGGGAUUAGAUA
rnacentral:rRNA from 1 species